rnacentral:tRNA from 1 species
GGUGAGAUGGCUGAUUUAUAGGCGAUAGAUUGUAAAUCUAUUCAUGAGAAUAUUUCCUCUCUCACCA